rnacentral:rRNA from 1 species
UACGGAGGGGGCUAGCGUUGUUCGGAAUUACUGGGCGUAAAGCGCACGUAGGUGGCUUUGUAAGUUAGAGGUGAAAGCCCGGGGCUCAACCCCGGAAUUGCCUUUAAGACUGCAUCGCUUGAAUCCGGGAGAGGUGAGUGGAAUUCCGAGUGUAGAGGUGAAAUUCGUAGAUAUUCGGAAGAACACCAGUGGCGAAGGCGGCUCACUGGACCGGCAUUGACGCUGAGGUGCGAAAGCGUGGGGAGCAAACAGG